GACUGGAUAGCCUAGUCCAUGGUCAAAGGCAGCGCUUCCAGCACAGUGUCUCAGCUUAUGAUGAGGUCCCAGGUUCGAAUCCUGGUCUAGUCA
rnacentral:tRNA from 1 species